rnacentral:rRNA from 1 species
CAGAGGGUGCGAGCGUUAAUCGGAAUUACUGGGCGUAAAGGGCGCGUAGGCGGCUAGAUAAGUCAGAUGUGAAAUCCCUGGGCUUAACCUGGGAAUGUCAUUUGAAACUGUGUGGCUAGAGUAGAGUAGAGGGAAGUGGAAUUUCCGGUGUAGCGGUGAAAUGCGUAGAUAUCGGAAAGAACAUCAGUGGCGAAGGCGGCUUUCUGGACUUAUACUGACGCUGAGGCGCGAAAGCAUGGGUAGCAAACAGGAUUAGAUACCCUGGUAGUCCAUGCUGUAAACGAUGAUAACUAGAUGCUGGCAGGUCAAACCUGUGAGUAUCGAAGCAAACGCGGUAAGUUAUCCGCCUGGGGAGUACGGCCGCAAGGCUA